GCUGGGCGCACCCGUCCCGUUCGUCCCCGGACGUUGCUCUCUACCCCGGGAACGUCGAGACUGGAGCGCCCGAACUGAGCCACCUUCGCGGACCCCGAGAGCGGCGGCGCGACUCACCGCGGAGGCGCCCGGACGCGUCAAGCCCAGCCCAAUAGGAAGCACCUGAUCCACACUCUUUCUAGCCCCAGGGAUGCUCAGGAAAGCAGCCUUUCUUUAGGGCUGUCAUCUGUUCUGGGGAUCUGUUGCUGUUUCUUGGGCCCACAGAAUACACUCCACACCUCGGGACUCCAUAAUAUUGGACAAGGCUGGAAGGCCCAUUUGGCUCCUGCAGCCUCUUAUGCAGGAGGACCUCCUGAGGCUUCGGGCAGGAGCUGGUGCACACCUGGAGGAGAGUGCUGGUGAAUGGCAGGUGUGUGCCUCAGUGUCCUUGCUGCCAGGGUGUCAGCCCUGCUUCACCACUGGCCGUUUGUCUCUGUCCCCUCCACUGGCCUCUUGAAGCACAGAGACCCUCCGGGUACUUUCCUUCCUCUGGGCUUCCACUCAUGCUAUUCCCUGCUCCCUUUUUCUACCUGGAGACCCCCAUUCCUCCUCCUCCUCUGCUGCCCUCACCUCCACCUGGGCCCUCCCAGCUCCCGGGAGAUGGCUGAACCCCACUCCCCACCCGCUAGUCAUCCUCUUCAGCGGUCCUCCCAGAGCUGUCCUCAGCAUGGCAGCCUCCACAGCCCCUGGGUGUCACCCCCGGUUUCGUGUCUGCCUCGGACUCCAGACCUGCCCCUCCCAGGCUGGCCCAGAUGGAUCCUCUACAGUGACUAACCCAAACCAGCACCAGGCAGGGACCCAAUAAACCUUUGUGAAUGGA
rnacentral:lncRNA from 1 species